CGGGGCAGGGCCAGGGCCAGGAAGAAGGAGUUCCUCUGGCCCAGAGAACCUGGCAGAAGGAGCUGUCUGCCUCCCAGCAAGCAGGAGGAGAUAUUGUCACUAUUGUCACCAAGCCUGCCAUCUGCUAGCUGCCAUGGAGCAGCAUGCUGCUACUGUCAGAGGUGCCACAGAGCCAGGAAGACAAAGAGAGUGUUGCUGUCUACUCAGGCAGAGGAGCAAACAUCCUGUGUUCCUGUGCAUUAGAACUUUUCCUGGACACAUCUCACUGCUGAAUGUCAACAGUAUAAACUAAAACCAGGAUCCAGCU